GACAGAGGAUGCAAGCGUUAUCCGGAAUGAUUGGGCGUAAAGCGUCUGUGAGGUGGCUUUUAAGUCCGCCGUCAAAUCCCAGGGCUUCAACCCUGGACAGGCGGUGGAAACUACCAAGCUGGAGUACGGUAGGGCAGAGGGAAUUUCCGGUGGAGCGGGUGAAAGUGCGUGAGAGAUCGGAAAGAACACCAACGGCGAAAGCAACUCUCGACUGGGACCGACACUGACACUGGAGAGACGAAAGCUAGGGGAGCGAAUGGGAAU
rnacentral:rRNA from 1 species